ACAGGUUAGUUUUACCCUACUGAUCGGAGCGAUAUUGUGACAGCAAUCGAAGUUAGUACGAGAGGAACACUUCGUUCAGACAUUUAGUAAAUGCAUUUACCUGAAAAGCUAUUAUUGCGAAGCUACCAUCUGUUGGAUUACGACUGAACGCCUCUAAAUUGGAAUCUGUGUUGGUUGUGCAGUGUUGUACACCACCACCAGUGUGACAGGCUAGGAUAUACGUUUGUCUUUUGUGCACUUGUGUGCGCCACCUUCAAAGGCUUGUAGAACUCAACUAGGUUCAAGGCACGUUGAUAGUGAUAAGUUUGCAGUCUACCACUGCCUUGAACACGGGUAUUGUAAGUGAUGAGAGUGGUCUUUGUACUACGAUCUUCUGAGGUUUAUCCUGCCUUUUUAAGAUU
rnacentral:rRNA from 1 species